GCCAUUCCGCGUGCAGGACGAAGGCCUUCGGGUUGUAAACUGCUUUUGUACAGAACGAAAAGGUCUCUAUUAAUACUAGGGGCUCAUGACGGUACUGUAAGAAUAAGCACCGGCUAACUACGUGCCAGCAGCCGCGGUAAUACGUAGGGUGCAAGCGUUAAUCGGAAUUACUGGGCGUAAAGCGUGCGCAGGCGGUUAUAUAAGACAGAUGUGAAAUCCCCGGGCUCAACCUGGGAACUGCAUUUGUGACUGUAUAGCUGGAGUGCGGCAGAGGGGGAUGGAAUUCCGCGUGUAGCAGUGAAAUGCGUAGAUAUGCGGAGGAACACCGAUGGCGAAGGCAAUCCCCUGGGCCUGCACUGACGCUCAUGCACGAAAGCGUGGGGAGCAAACAGGAUUAAAUACCCUGGUAGUCCAGGCCCUAAACGAUGUCAACUGGUUGUUGCUUCUUCACUGACUCACUAACGAAGCUAAA
rnacentral:rRNA from 1 species